rnacentral:misc_RNA from 1 species
UCUCCGUAGGUGAACCAGCGGAGGGAUCAUUACCGAGUUUACAACUCCCAAACCCAAUGUGAACCAUACCAAACUGUUGCCUCGGCGGGGUCACGCCCCGGGUGCGUCGCAGCCCCGGAACCAGGCGCCCGCCGGAGGGACCAACCAAACUCUUUCUGUAGUCCCCUCGCGGACGUUAUUUUUACAGCUCUGAGCAAAAAUUCAAAAUGAAUCAAAACUUUCAACAACGGAUCUCUUGGUUCUG